rnacentral:rRNA from 1 species
AACAAGGCUCACACCCUGAAUGCACCCAAUCUCAUCUGAUCUCAGAAGCCAAGCAGGGUCGGGCCUGGUUAGUACUUGGAUGGGAAGAACAAGGCAAGAAUGUGGUUU